GUGGGGAUGACGUCAAGUCAUCAUGCCCCUUAUGUCCAGGGCUUCACGCAUGCUACAAUGGCUGGUACAGAGAGUGGCGAGCCUGUGAGGGUGAGCGAAUCUCGGAAAGCCGGUCUCAGUUCGGAUUGGGGUCUGCAACUCGACCUCAUGAAGUCGGAGUCGCUAGUAAUCGCAGAUCAGCAACGCUGCGGUGAAUACGUUCCCGGGGCUUGUACACACCGCCCGUCAAGUCAUGAAAGUUGG
rnacentral:rRNA from 1 species